rnacentral:rRNA from 1 species
UACGUAGGGUGCGAGCGUUGUCCGGAAUUAUUGGGCGUAAAGAGCUCGUAGGCGGUCUGUCGCGUCGGCUGUGAAAACCCGAGGCUCAACCUCGGGCCUGCAGUCGAUACGGGCAAACUAGAGUACUGCAGGGGAGACUGGAAUUCCUGGUGUAGCGGUGAAAUGCGCAGAUAUCAGGAGGAACACCGGUGGCGAAGGCGGUUCUCUGGGCAUUACCUGACGCUGAGGAGCGAAAGUGUGGGGAGCGAACAGG